UUUUUUUUUAGUUUUUUGCGCUUUUAGAAUAGUCUGCUUCCUAUCAACCAAACUAUUUUUUUAACAGUCUUGCUAAGUCUCAGUCGAUGCUAUACCCGUGAGAUCUUACGUUGAUUCAUGCAAAAAAUUAUUUUUAGUUUUUCUUUUUCUCUAUUGCAUGUUAUGUUACUUGACUGAGACUUUGUUAAAUCUCAGGCGACUGAGACCUAGUCAUACCCUUUUUUUAAGGCUACUAGUCAAGUCUUAAUAAAGUAGGCUUGUGACAUAAAUAAAUUUUGUCGGGCUUUUAAAAUAAACUGGUUAGGGGACGACUUACGUCAACUUAUUUUAGAUGCCAACAGAAGAACUGGCCCAAGGAAAAUGUUUGUAGUUUGACAAAACUACUCUAAACCUCGUCGUUGUCGUUUUGUUGUGACACACGCCCAGUCAGCUAGAAUGCACCGAGUCUAAUCUACUGUAUCGUAGAUAUUGCCCAAUUUAAAUUUUGCUCGAGCGCGUGUUAUUCUCUUAUCCUUAUGUACUCUGAAACACUUCGCUUUACUCCAUGCCAUUAUGUAUGUUAGAUACAAUUCUUCUUCCAUUUCUUUCUUCCUAUACAAGAAAAGCUCUUCUCCUCUCGUCGGCGCCGCCCCCGCCCCCGCCGGUCCGCCCCCAUCUCUUUCCUCCUCUAGAGAUAAAGAAUGUUUCCCUAAAAAACAAUAUGGUGCCUUACUAUUGUUUCUCCCCCAGCAUGAAACGUCUCUUACAACGCACGCAUGUAAAAUCUAGGCCUAACAGUCCUGAGAUGUUAGUUCAUCUGUGCGCCCAACUUAUCAAUAUAGUGCACUGACUCACACAGAACUUCAUUCUCCUCUUUGCACUAAUCGCCAAAAAGUAGGAACUUUCAAUGUGAAACGCUCUAGCAUUAAACGGCACAACGAUUGGAUUUCAGACUUAAAAUUUUAACUCUGGAUUUUAGACUUCAAAUUUGAGUUCAGACUUAUUUUAGAGAGAAAUAUGUGGGUUUGUUAGUUAAAUGAGAAGUGAUUUAUGGCACCGUGAUGAAUCUAGUCGUGUGUCAUCGCUUUGUAAAAUGGUUCGAUAAACACAAAUCAAGGCAUGGUUUUCUAUAUAAACAAAUAAAUUCCCAUUUAGCAAAUGAACUAUCCCCAUCGAGCAAGAUAUUCUGAUUUGACUAGACAUGUUUGCAAAAAUAAAUAAAUGAAUAGAUUAAACAUAGCAAGUCGUUUUCUAUGGGAAUGCUCACCAGCACACUUCAUUGCAAAUUUAACAUAGUUACAUCGUUCCACAAAAGAGGUGAAACGGAACUAGGAGGAUCAUCCUCCCAAAACAAUUUUCGACUUAAAAUCAUAUGAGUGUCUAGCUAGCUUGCGCGCCACCCUGUUGGCCUCCCUUGGACAGUAACGGAUGCCACUGAACCAACCCUGGCAAAUUUCAUUAACUCCUUCGUUUUCUCAAAGUAGCAAAUUUCAUGAACUCCUUGAUUUUCUCAAAGUAAAAGAGGCCGUCGGCAAAUUUCACAAAAAUAAUCAGAGAUAACUAGUGACUAAUUGUGAAAUUGGUGUGCAUCAGACAAGUGUCUCUUGAGUGGAGUUAAAAGGCAUUGUGCAGUGUAUGUGUAUGUAGCUUUACGUUUUCUUUAGCGCAGUUAGUGUCAUGUCGCGUGCUUUAUUUUGCAGUAGUAGAUGGUAAAGCAUGGUGCCUUACUAAACAUACUAGUACCAGAGAUAAAGUCUAUGUUUCCCUCAGAAAAAGUAUGGUGCCUUGCUGCUGUCUUUAUUACUAAUUUCGCCCCCAGCAUGAAACGUCUCUUACAACGCACGGCAAUCCCAAAGUUGGCACUAAUUAGGCAAUCAUGUGCUGUUAAAUCUAGACCUAAAAGGUCUUGAAACAUUAGUGCGUCGAAAUUAUCAGUACACUGACUCACAUAACUUCAUUCUCCGCUUUGCACUAAUCGCCGAAAAGUACUCCCUCCGUUCCUAAAUAUUUGUCUUUCUAAAGAUUUCAACAAGUGACUACAUACGAAGCAAAAUGAGUGAAUCUACACUCUAAAAUAGGUUUACAUACAUCCUUAUGUUGUAAUCAUUUGAAAUGUCUAGAAAGACAAAUGUUUAGAAACGGAGGGAGUAAUACAUUAAACAGUGAAACGCUUUAGACUUCAGACAUCAAAUUUUAACUCUGGGUUUCAGGCUCUCCAGAUCCAGAAGACCGCAUGAUUCAUAAAACAAGUAUACCAAGCGAGGAACGCGACGACGCAACAAAUUCACAGAAGCUACACUACCUGUAAAUUUGAUGACCUUACUAGAUGUUAGUUCCAGAGAAAUUUCAAAUGAUUUUUUCAAGAGUUGAGGACUAUAUUUGUCAGGAUGGGAAAUCUUUUGAGAUCUAUAUAAAUAUAGCAAACUCUGACAACGCAGCAAGCACACCACCUAUGCCCAGAAGAAACUCUACCUACAUUUGCCAGGCUAA
rnacentral:lncRNA from 1 species